UUCCAGACUCCUACGGGAGGCAGCAGUGAGGAAUAUUGGUCAAUGGCCGAGAGGCUGAACCAGCCAAGUCGCGUGAGGGAAGACGGCCCUACGGGUUGUAAACCUCUUUUGUCGGGGAGCAAAGCGAACCACGUGUGGUUCAUUGAGAGUACCCGAAGAAAAAGCAUCGGCUAACUCCGUGCCAGCAGCCGCGGUAAUACGGAGGAUGCGAGCGUUAUCCGGAUUUAUUGGGUUUAAAGGGUGCGUAGGCGGACGCUUAAGUCAGCGGUAAAUUGCGGGGCUCAACCUCGUCGAGCCGUUGAAACUGGGUGCCUUGAGUGGGCGAGAAGUACGCGGAAUGCGUGGUGUAGCGGUGAAAUGCAUAGAUAUCACGCAGAACUCCGAUUGCGAAGGCAGCAUACCGGCGCUCAACUGACGCUCAUGCACGAAAGCGUGGGUAUCGAACAGGAUUAGAUACCCGAGUAGG
rnacentral:rRNA from 1 species